UACGUAGGGGCCAAGCGUUGUCCGGAUUUAUUGGGCGUAAAGAGCUCGUAGGCGGUUUGUCGCGUCUGCUGUGAAAACUCGGGGCUUAACUCCGGGCCUGCAGUGGGUACGGGCAGACUAGAGUGCGGUAGGGGAGACUGGAAUUCCUGGUGUAGCGGUGAAAUGCGCAGAUAUCAGGAGGAACACCGGUGGCGAAGGCGGGUCUCUGGGCCGUAACCGACGCUGAGGAGCGAAAGCGUGGGGAGCGAACAGG
rnacentral:rRNA from 1 species